rnacentral:rRNA from 1 species
CUCGAACGUAAGAUGACUGUAGGUGAAAGCUUACAUCUCUUCGGAGCAUUUUACGAGGUGCUGCAUGGUUGUCGUCAGCUCGUGCCGUGAGGUGUCGGGUUAAGUCCCAUAACGAGCGCAACCCCUACCUUUAGUUGCCAUCAGGUAAUGCUGGGGACUCUAAAGGAACUGCCUACGCAAGUAGUGAGGAAGCGGGGAUGACGUCAAAUCAGCACGGCCCUUACGUCCAGGGCUACACACGUGCUACAAUGGCCGAUACAGAGGGGCAGCUACCUGGUGACAGGAUGCAAAUCUCCAAAGUCGGUCUCAGUUCGGAUCGGAGUCUGCAACCCGACUCCGUGAAGUUGGAUUCGCUAGUAAUCGCGCAUCAGCCAUGGCGCGGUGAAUACGUUCCCGGGCCUU